CGCGAAUGGCUCAUUACAACAGCUAUAAUUUACUUGAAUUUGACAACCCUACUUGGAUACCGGUGGUAAUUCUAGCGCUAAUACAUGCACCAAAGCUCCGACCGCGAGGGAAGGGCGCAUUUAUUAGAACAAAACCACACGGCUUCGGCCGUCCAAUGUUGACUCAGAAUAACUAAGCUGAUCGCAUGGUCUUGCACGGGCGACGUUUCUUUCAAGUAUCUGCCUUAUCAACUUUCGAUGGUAGUGUAUCUGACUACCAUGGUGAUGACGGGUAACGGAGGAUAAGGGUUCGACUCCGGAGAAGGGGCCUGAGAAAUGGCCACUACGUCUAAGGAUGGCAGCAGGCGCGCAAAUUACCCACUCUCAGUACGAGGAGGUAGUGACGAGAAAUAACAAGACCGUUCUCACAAGAGGCCGGUCAUUGGAAUGGGUACAAUUUAAACCCUUUAACGAGUAUCUAUGAGAGGGCAAGUCUGGUGCCAGCAGCCGCGGUAAUUCCAGCU
rnacentral:rRNA from 1 species